UACGUAGGGUGCGAGCGUUGUUCGGAAUUACUGGGCGUAAAGGGCGCGUAGGCGGACCUGUAAGUCGGAUGUGAAAGCCCCGGGCUCAACCCGGGAAGUGCACUCGAUACUGCCGAGCUAGAGUAUCGGAGAGGUUGGUGGAAUUCUCGGUGUAGAGGUGAAAUUCGUAGAUAUCGAGAGGAACACCGGUGGCGAAGGCGGCCAACUGGACGAAUACUGACGCUGAGACUCGAAAGCGUGGGGAGCAAACAGG
rnacentral:rRNA from 1 species